rnacentral:tRNA from 1 species
GGUUCGUUACGCAUCUGGUGAAGCGACCGCCCUGUCACGGCGAUGAGAUGGGUUCGAUUCCCAUACGAACCG